rnacentral:rRNA from 1 species
GUGAUUCUUGGUCAUUUAGAGGAAGUAAAAGUCGUAACAAGGUUUCCGUAGGUGAACCUGCGGAAGGAUCAUUAAGAAUUGAUAAUAUUUGUGAAAUUUACACAGCAAACAAUAAUCAUACAAUCAAAACAAAAAUAAUCAAAACUUUUAACUAUGGAUCUCUUGGUUCUCGUAUCGAUGAAGAACGCAGCGAAACGCGAUAUUUCUUGUGUAUUGCAGUAGUGAAUCAUCAGUUUUUGAACGCACAUUGCACUUUGGGGUAUCCCCCAUAGUAUACUUGUUUGAGCGUUGUUUCUCUCUUGGUAUUGCAUUGCUUUUCUAAUAUUUCGAAUCAUAUUCGUUUGAAAAACAACACUAUUCAACCUCAGAUCAAGUAGGAUUACCCGCUGGACUUAAGCAUAUCAAUAAGCGGAGGUUA